rnacentral:lncRNA from 1 species
UCUUACCCACUCACACCAAAUCACUUCUCAAAAUCACAUAAUCUCAUAAUCGCUUCUCUCGUAAUCACUUAUCACAAUCAUUCUUCACUUCUCACAAUCUCAUCUCAGAAUCACUUCUCACUUCUCACAGAAUCAUUUCUCACAAUCGAUUAUUCACUUCAUCUCAGAAUCACAUCUCAUAAUCGAUUCUUCACUUCAUCUCAGAAUCACAUCUCAUAAUCGAUUCUUCACUUCUCACAAUCUCAGAAUCACUUCUCACUUCUCUUCACGAAUUUGCGGUAUGUAGUUCCUUUGCGUUUUUAUUUUGCUCUAAUUUGAUAUUUCUAGGUUAAGUUGAUACUGAUUUAAUGCAAUUGACAUUUUUUAGGUUAAGAUGAUUCUGAUUUGAUUUUAAGUUGAUUCUACUUGUUUUUUGUGGAUUAGUAGAAAAUGAUAUGAAAUCGAACGAGACUUGUAAUAAUUCUGAACUGAUUUCAUGUUGUUUUUGUUUGUUUUGUUGGUUUAUUUGUGCUUAUGGAAUCUCACGCGCUUCUGAUUUCACCGCUCAUCAGAUAUGCUUCAUUGCAAUCACUGUGAUAAGAAUAAGAUAUGAAAUAAGAAUAAGAAUUAUGAUUUUAAGUUUUGCUAAAUUAGAUUAGAUUUUUGGACUAAUUUCAAUUAUUUUUUUCUGUAUUUGAUGUUGGUUAAUUUGUGGAUGAUUUAUCUGCCGGUUCUUCGAUGAGCAUUUGAGUUGACUUUCUGUAUCUCUCGAAUCAGGU